rnacentral:rRNA from 1 species
UACGUAGGGGGCAAGCGUUGUCCGGAAUUAUUGGGCGUAAAGAGCUCGUAGGCGGUUUGUCGCGUCUGCUGUGAAAACUGGAGGCUCAACCUCCAGCCUGCAGUGGGUACGGGCAAACUAGAGUGCGGUAGGGGAGAUUGGAAUUCCUGGUGUAGCGGUGGAAUGCGCAGAUAUCAGGAGGAACACCGAUGGCGAAGGCAGAUCUCUGGGCCGUAACUGACGCUGAGAAGCGAAAGCAUGGGGAGCGAACAGG